GAGCUGCUGGGUUGGUGAACACAUGGAGGUGUGGGGAGGGUGGCAGGCCCAGAGAGAACAUGGAUUCCCCACGGUCCUUCCCACAUACCUCAUUCUUUUCAUCUGGCUGCUCCUGAGUUGUGUCCUUUAUAAUAAACUGACAAUGAACCGUAAAAAUACCAAGUCAAAAAACAAAAGCAAAAACAAAACCACAACAAAAAGCCUAGGAGAGAAGCAAUAAUAUGGAGAAAGUGCAAGAGUGAAUUAGCUGCCCAUGGCCAUAGCAUGGAAGUGAGGUGAAGGUUGGGAAAGGUCCAGGAAAGAAUCUAAACAUAGCUGAUGGAGUGGUUCAGGAGCUGAGGAGCUGGGGAUCUGGGUUUGGAGGACACCUCUCUGUAAAUGAAUGAGAUACAGCUCAUGUUCCUGUCGCAGAGGAUAAAAAUCAGACCCAUAGAGAAGAAAAACGUAGAGUCUAAAGGACAUGACAAAAGUAUUGGGUAGAGCCUACAUAAAUAGCAUUGGAGAGGGUAUACCAAAGAGAACUGGGAUGUUUCAGCAGAUAUAGAAUGACAGUGACUCUGGAGGAUAUAGUGGUCUCCUAGACUAUGAGGGCAGGAAGGGAUCUUAGUCCCGUCUACUUGCUGUGUAGGGAAGGAAAACGGAUGGAGAAAAAGGUCAAGGAAAAUGUUCAAGGUCACAGAUGUCAUUCUGCUGCUCAAAACUUGCCUUCCUCACUUUUAUUUCUCACUUUGCCUUUCCUUGCUCCUUGCUUACAGGAUGAAGUCCAACUCUUUAGUAUGACAUCAAUGCCUUGACUUUGCAAUUUGACCUCACAGUACUCCCUUUGCUUGUUUUUCAAUUUACCUAAAAAUAUUCUGUGCUUUUCCCUGCUUCCCUGCUUAUGCUAUUCUUUCUGAAUUGAAUGCCUCUCUUUCCUCUACCCACUUCUUGAAAUACUGGCUUUAGGAGCCAGUUUAAGACUCAGAGAGUUCCAAAUGUCCAAAACAUUUUCUUCAAAUCUCUCCCUUCCAAGAAAUAAUUUUCCUUACUUCAAAACCAUAUAUCACCCUGUGGUAUUUCUCCUGUGUAAAUGUCACCUCGUAAUAUGACUGCUAGAGUUCUCAUAAUCAGGUGGCAAACUCUUUAACAACAAUAAAGCUGCCUUAGUAAUUUCUGUGCCCACCAUCACUCAGAGCUUGUGCAUAUUAAGAGCCUAGCAGUAUUUACCGCUAGGAACAAAUGAAUAAAUUAAUGAAGCUAUUAAAUCUCA